rnacentral:tRNA from 1 species
GAUCAUGUAGCUCAGUGGUAGAGUGCUUGCUUGCCUAGGCAGUUUUGGGUUCAAUUCCCAGCAUCA